rnacentral:rRNA from 1 species
AGUGAACGCUGGCGGUAGGCCUAACACAUGCAAGUCGAACGGCAGCACAGUAAGAGCUUGCUCUUACGGGUGGCGAGUGGCGGACGGGUGAGGAAUACAUCGGAAUCUACUUUUUCGUGGGGGAUAACGUAGGGACACUUACGCUAAUACCGCAUACGACCUACGGGUGAAAGCAGGGGAUAUUCGGACCUUGCGCGUUUGAAUGAGCUGAUGUCGGAUUAGCUAGUUGGCGGGGUAAAGGCCCACCAAGGCGACGAUCCGUAGCUGGUCUGAGAGGAUGAUCAGCCACACUGGAACUGAGACACGGUCCAGACUCCUACGGGAGGCAGCAGUGGGGAAUAUUGGACAAAGGGCGCAAGCCUGAUCCAGCCAUACCGCGUGAGUGAAGAAGGCCUUCGGGUUGUAAAGCCCUUUUAUUGGGAAAGAAAAGCAGCAGGUUAAUACCCCGCUGUUCUGACGGUACCCAAAGAAUAAGCACCGGCUAACUUCGUG